rnacentral:lncRNA from 1 species
AACCCAAAGGGAAGAGACCAGGUGAUGAGCAGUCAGGGAGGAGGCACAUAAUGUCUGGAGUGGGUGGGUCAGUCUCCUACUCCUUGUGUUGGCAGAGGAACAGACCUACCCGUUCGCUUGGCACAACCAGCACCCAGCUCUUCAUUGCUGUGGAUGCUGGCCUGAGACAACUUUCAACUAGGGAGUCGCCACAGCAACUCUUGGCUGUCUGGGUGCUUGAAAGCACCCUUGCUCUGUGCUCCCUCUCUGUCCAGCACUUUCCCUGGACCCCGUGGGGACAGAGCCAUGGACACUGGGCGCCCAGUCCUGUUUGAUGGGGAGUGAGGAAACAUUUAAAGACAGAGAGGCCAGCCACAUCCAGAGCAUGUGGGGGAGUGGUGGUGAUGGCGACGUGUGGUCCUUACUUGAAGCAAUAUUUUGUACUUACCGUCUGCAGAAAUGCCUACAGUCCCCACUCCUCCAAGAAGACUAUUUCCAGGAUGCUGACUUCAUGCCCAUUGAAUGGUGACCUCAGAUGCAUUUCUCUGACUGCAAGUCUCUCUGAGCUCGGAAGGUGCAAAGGCAGAGCUUCCUCUCCUCCUCUAUGGAAGUUUAAGGCAUGCUGACCACAGCAAGUCCAGGUCUCGAAGGGCUGUACCCCACUGACCCUCUCUCCCCAGGUGAGGUGGCCAGGACCGACCCCAAUCCCUCACCUCCCCUUAUAGCUCACUUGGCAGAGGCAUUGUGAGUUGUCCUAAGGAGGAAGGAUAACACAGUUCUAGAGCCUGAAGAUGUUGACAGAAUUCAUUUGCAAGUGGAAUUUCC